rnacentral:lncRNA from 1 species
CUGAGACUUGAGCCAACACAGAAGCCAAACUGAAAGAUGGAUAGAAGUUCAGCUGAUAUUAUUUGAGCCCCUGGAUCUAGAUCUAGCCUUGCAUGAUUUUUUUUUAAUUUAGGAAAGUAUUAAAGGCUUUUAAGUGUUCAAGUGAAAAGAAGAGACACAGGUCUCUCCCUUUGAGUUAAAGUUGAUUAACAGGCUUAAAAUACACAGUUUGAUAGAAGAAAUAAGCCAUAGUAUUAUUGGAUAGAUUAGUAGCAUGACUAUAGUUUACAAGAAACUUUUAUACAUUUCAAAGUAGCUAGAAGAGAAAAAUGUAAAGAUAAAUAUUUAGGUAAUGGAUAUUCCAAGUACACUGAUUUGAUCCAUAUAAAUUAUAUAAAUGUAUUAAAUGAUCAUGUG